rnacentral:rRNA from 1 species
AGGCGACGANCCAACUGGUUGAGAGGAUGAUCAACCACAACUGGGACUGAGGACACGGCCCCAANACUCCUACGGGAGGCAACCAUGGGGAAAAUUGCACAAAUGGGCGCAAAGCCCUGAUGCAGCCAUCCCGCGUGGUGUGAAGAAAGGCCCCUUCGGGUUUGUAAAGCACUUUCAGUCAGGAGGAAAGGUUAGUAGUUAAAUACCUGCUAGCUGUGACGGUUACUGACAGAAGAAGCACCGGCGUAACUCCGUGCCAGCAGCCGCGGUAAUACGGAGGGUGCGAGCGUUAAUCGGGAAUUACUGGGCGUAAAGCGUACGCAGGCGGUUUGUUAAGCGAGAUGUGAAAGCCCCGGGCUCAACCUGGGAACUGCAUUUCGAACUGGCAAACUAGAGUGUGAUAGAGGGUGGUAGAAUUUCAGGUGUAGCGGUGAAAAUGCGUAGAGAUCUGAAGGAAUACCGAUGGCGAAGGCAGCCACCUGGGUCAACACUGACGCUCAUGUACGAANGCGUGGGGAGCAAACGGGAUUAGAUACCCCGGUAGUCCACGCCGUAAACGAUGUCUACUAGAAGCUCGGAGCCUCGGUUCUGUUUUUCAAAGCUAACGCAUUAAGUAGACCGCCUGGGGAGUACGGCCGCAAGGUUAAACUCAAAUGAAUUGACGGGGGCCCGCACAAGCGGUGGAGCAUGUGGUUUAAUUCGAUGCAACGCGAAGAACCUUACCUACACUGNGACAUACAGAGAACUUACCUUCAAUCGUUUGGUGCCUUCGGAACUCUGAUACAGUCUG